AGAGUUUGAUCCUAGCUCAGGAUGAACGCUGGCGACGUGGAUAAGGCAUGCAAGUCGAGCGCCCGCAUCACAGUGCUCGUGAUGCGAGUAAAAAGUAACAAGUAGAAAGUAGAAAGUGAAUACGAAUUCACCUUUUACCUUUUUACUUUACACUUUCUACUCGUAUCGCGCGUAGCGCGAUGCGGGAGCGGCAGACGAGGUAGUAACACGUGAGUACGCACCCCAAAGUCAGGAAUAGCUUAUCGAAAGAUAGGGUAAUACUUGAUGGUCUCCGACACCGCAAGGUCGUCGGAGUAAAGAUUUAUCGCUUUGGGAGCGGCUUGCGGCGUAUCAGGUAGUUGGUAGGGUAACGGCCUACCAAGCCUAUGACGCGUAGAGGAGCUGAGAGGCUGACCCUCACCGAUAGCACUGAGACACGGGCUAUACACCUACGGGUGGCUGCAGCCGAGAAUAUUCGACAAUGGACGAAAGUCUGAUCGAGCGACGUCGCGUGGUGGAUGAAGGCCUUCGGGCUGUAAACACCUUUUGUCAGGGAGAACGUGGCAUUUAUGCCACACGAUAGUACCUGAAGAAUAAGGGGUUGCUAACUCUGUGCCAGCAGCAGCGGUGAUACAGAGACCCCAAGCGUUAUCCGGAAUUAUUGGGCGUAAAGGAUGUGUAGGUGGUCAUGUUAGUCUCUUGUUAAAACCCCCGGCUUAACCGGGGAGGUGCGAGGGAAACGGCAUGACUUGAGCGUGCGAGAGGUCUACGGAACUCAUGGUGUAGGGGUGAAAUCCGUUAAUAUCAUGGGGAACACCAAAGGCGAAGGCAGUAGACUGGCGCACCGCUGACACUGAAACAUGAAAGCGUGGGGAGAGAAUGGGAUUAGAUACCCCAGUAUUCCACGCCCUAAACGAUGAUCACUAGCUUUUCGGAGUAUCGACCCUCUGAGAGGCGUAGCUAACGCGUUAAGUGAUCCGCCUGGGAAGUACGGCCGCAAGGCUAAAACUCAAAGGAAUAGACGGGGACUUGCACAAGCGGUGGAUUAUGUGGUUUAAUUCGAUUCUAAACGAAGAACCUCACCAGGGUUAGACAUCCAGACGAAGAUCAGCAGAAACGUUGAUCGUCUCACAAGGACGGCUGGACAGGUGAUGCAUGGCUGUCGUCAGUUCGUGGUUUGAAUUGUUCCCUUAAGUGGGGUAACGAACGCAACCC
rnacentral:rRNA from 1 species